rnacentral:rRNA from 1 species
GACGAACGCUGGCGGCGUGCCUAAUUCAUGCAAGUCGAACGAGAGCGACCGGUGCUUGCACUGGUCAAUCUAGUGGCGAACGGGUGAGUAACACGUGGGUAACCUGCCCAUCAGAGGGGGAUAACAUUCGGAAACGGAUGCUAAAACCGCAUAGGUUCUACAGUCGCAUGACUGAAGAAGGAAAAGAGGCUUCGGCUUCUGCUGAUGGAUGGACCCGCGGUGCAUUAGCUAGUUGGUGAGGUAACGGCUCACCAAGGCCGUGAUGCAUAGCCGACCUGAGAGGGUGAUCGGCCACAUUGGGACUGAGACACGGCCCAAACUCCUACGGGAGGCAGCAGUAGGGAAUCUUCCGCAAUGGACGCAAGUCUGACGGAGCAACGCCGCGUGAGUGAAGAAGGAUUUCGGUUCGUAAAACUCUGUUGUUAGAGAAGAACAGCGCAUAGAGUAACUGUUAUGCGUGUGACGGAUCUAACCAAAAGCCACGCA